rnacentral:rRNA from 1 species
UACGUAGGGUGCAAGCGUUAAUCGGAAUUACUGGGCGUAAAGCGUACGCAGGCGGCUUUGCAAGACAGGUGUGAAAUCCCCGGGCCUAACCUGGGAACUGCAUUUGUGACUGCAUGACUAGAGUUUGUCAGAGGGGGGUGGAAUUCCACGUGUAGCAGUGAAAUGCGUAGAUAUGUGGAGGAACACCGAUGGCGAAGGCAGCCCCCUGGGAUGUGACUGACGCUCAUGUACGAAAGCGUGGGGAGCAAACGGG